AUUAAAGUUGUUGCAGUUAAAAAGCUCGUAGUUGGACUUUGGGCGCGUCGGUUCGCGCGAUCCGUCGAAAUGACGUGUGUCGCCGCUGCGCGCCUUUUCUUUCCACUGUGGUCCGGUGCCAUUCAGUUGGUGCCGGGUGCUGCGUGGAAUCAUUUACUUUGAAAAAAUUAGAGUGUUCAAAGCAGGCGAGUUUCGGCCGUUGAAUAGUUCAGCAUGGGAUAAUAAAAUAGGACUUUCAUCUUAUUUUGUUGGUUUUGUAGAUGAAGGUAAUGAUUAACAGGGACAGUUGGGGAUAUCAGUAUUUAAUUGUCAGAGGUGAAAUUCUUGGAUUUAUGAAAGACUAACUACUGCGAAAGCAUUUAUCAAGGAUGUUUUCAUUAAUCAAGAACGAAAGUUAGGGGAUCGAAGAUGAUCAGAUACCGUCGUAGUCUUAACCGUAAACUAUGCCGACCAGGGAUUCGGGGCCGUUAUAUGGAUGACACUCCGAGCACCUUACGAGAAAUCACAAGUUUUUGGGUUCUGGGGGGAGUAUGGUCGCAAGGCUGGAACUUAAAGGAAUUGACGGAAGGGCACCACCAGGAGUGGAGCUUGCGGCUUAAUUUGACACAACACGGGGAAACUCACCAGGUCCAGACACAAGAAGGAUUGACAGAUUGAGAGCUCUUUCUUGAUUUUGUGGGUGGUGGUGCAUGGCCGUUCUUAGUUGGUGGAGUGAUUUGUCUGGUUAAUUCCGAUAACGAACGAGACCUUUACCAGUUAAAUAGUAAUAUUUAUAUAGUAAUAUAUAGAUAGAAUAACUUCUUAGAGGGACUAUUGAUCAAAAAAUCAAAGGAAGUAAAGGCGAUAACAGGUCUGUGAUGCCCUUAGAUGUUCUGGGCUGCACGCGCGCUACAAUGAUAUAUUCAAAAAGUUUUCAAAAUUUUAUAAAUUUUGUAUUACUUAAUCGGAAGGUUUGGUUAAUCUUUUAAACGUAUAUCGUGCUUGGGAUAGAUAAUUGUAAUUAUUUAUCUUGAACCAGGAAUUCCUAGUAAUCACAACUCAUCAGGUUGUGAUGAUUACGUCCCUGCCCCUUGUACACACCGCCCGUCGCUGCUACCGAUUGGAUGAUCCGGUGAAAUCUACAGAUUAUACUAAUUAUUUAACGCAAGUUAAACUUUAGUUAGAGAAGUUGAUUAAACCUUAUUAUCUAGAGGAAGCA
rnacentral:rRNA from 1 species